rnacentral:rRNA from 1 species
GGGUGAGUAACACGUGGAUAACCUACCUAUAAGACUGGGAUAACUUCGGGAAACCGGAGCUAAUACCGGAUAAUAUAUUGAACCGCAUGGUUCAAUAGUGGAAGACGGUUUUGCUGUCACUUAUAGAUGGAUCCGCGCCGCAUUAGCUAGUUGGUAAGGUAACGGCUUACCAAGGCAACGAUGCGUAGCCGACCUGAGAGGGUGAUCGGCCACACUGGAACUGAGACACGGUCCAG